UUUCGCAAUGCCCGAAAGGGUGACGAAGUGACGCCGCGUGGGUGAGGAAGGCCUUCGGGUUGUAAAGCCCUGUCAGGAGUUAAGAAAUGUAGAUUCGCUAAUAUCGGGUCUAUUUGACAAAGGCUCCAAAGGAAGCCACGGCUAACUCUGUGCCAGCAGCCGCGGUAAUACAGAGGUGGCAAGCGUUGUUCGGAAUUAUUGGGCGUAAAGAGCACGUAGGUGGAUUUGUAAGUCAGAUGUGAAAGCCUUCUGUUCAACGGAAGAAUUGCAUCUGAAACUACAAACCUUGAGUGUAGGAGGGGAGAAUGGAACUUCUGGUGGAGCGGUGAAAUGCGUAGAUAUCAGAAGGAACGCCGGCGGCGAAAGCGAUUCUCUGGCCUAUUACUGACACUCAGUGUGCGAAAGCUAGGGGAGCAAACGGGAUUAGAUACCCCGGUAGUCCUAGCCGUAAACGAUGGGCACUAAGUAGAGGGGUUUUAA
rnacentral:rRNA from 1 species